UGGACGCUGGCGGCAGGCCUAACACAUGCAAGUCGAGCGGAUGACGGGAGCUUGCUCCUUGAUUCAGCGGCGGACGGGUGAGUAAUGCCUAGGAAUCUGCCUGGUAGUGGGGGACAACGUUUCGAAAGGAACGCUAAUACCGCAUACGUCCUACGGGAGAAAGCAGGGGACCUUCGGGCCUUGCGCUAUCAGAUGAGCCUAGGUCGGAUUAGCUAGUUGGUGAGGUAAUGGCUCACCAAGGCGACGAUCCGUAACUGGUCUGAGAGGAUGAUCAGUCACACUGGAACUGAGACACGGUCCAGACUCCUACGGGAGGCAGCAGUGGGGAAUAUUGGACAAUGGGCGAAAGCCUGAUCCAGCCAUGCCGCGUGUGUGAAGAAGGUCUUCGGAUUGUAAAGCACUUUAAGUUGGGAGGAAGGGCAGUAAGUUAAUACCUUGCUGUUUUGACGUUACCGACAGAAUAAGCACCGGCUAACUCUGUGCCAGCAGCCGCGGUAAUACAGAGGGUGCAAGCGUUAAUCGGAAUUACUGGGCGUAAAGCGCGCGUAGGUGGUUCGUUAAGUUGGAUGUGAAAGCCCCGGGCUCAACCUGGGAACUGCAUCCAAAACUGGCGAGCUAGAGUAUGGUAGAGGGUGGUGGAAUUUCCUGUGUAGCGGUGAAAUGCGUA
rnacentral:rRNA from 1 species